rnacentral:rRNA from 1 species
GACGAACCGAGCGAACGUUAUUCGGAAUCACUGGGCUUAAAGGGCGCGUAGGCGGGCCGUCAAGUCGAGGGUGAAAUCCCCCAGCUCAACUGGGGAAGUGCCUCCGAUACUGGCGGCCUCGAGGGGGAUAGGGGCAUGCGGAACUUCCGGUGGAGCGGUGAAAUGCGUAGAUAUCAUCAGGAAUACCGGAGGCGAAGGCGGCUCACUGGGGGUUUUCUGACGCUGAGGAACGAAAGCCAGGGGAGCGAACGGG